GUGAAAUAACAGUGCAGUCCUUCUUUGGCACAGAGAAGAACAUGGCUUACUUAAAACUUCUGGCUUUGCCAAAGGAGAAUUGCCCUGCCAUUCACUCCUGCAGUUACCAUAUUUAUAUAUGCUACACUUCUCCAUUAUUGCUUGCUCCUUUCCUUGAAAUGCAGCUAUUAUCAGUUUGACAAAUUUCCAAGGCAAGGAACUGAGGGUUUAAACAAAAUAUGAAUGCUGAUAUGGUUAGAAGCCGAAGGAAGUAUGAGAAUGAAUCUUGUCAUUUCACCACUUCUCUAAACAUCAUCAGGCUCAAUGGAACUCUCAGCAUGAUGUUAACGUUGCUUCAUCAUCAGACUAUCAUCUCUAGAUUCUUCUGAUCCAGGAGAGUCAUCGCUGAUUAGUUACAGCUCAAGCAUUUGGUGUGUUCAUCACCCUCCACAACCCAUAUACUGUUCAACACUAAGUUAAUUGUUCCUAGGAUUACCCUUUCCAUCUUAGAGAUGCCAGCUGCAUCAAGAAUCCCUCCAUAGGUGAAUCAAUGCCAAUUUCUCCAGUUUUAAGUCUGUUUUAAGAUAGGGAAAGACUAUGUAUGUUAUUUGUGCUUGGCAGUUGGCAAUCAGUUCACUGUAUCAGCUGAACAGGGAACUGGUUCUGUUUAUCGACCAAAGGAAAUAAAAAGAGAAGAAACUGCUCAA